rfam:Mannheimia haemolytica M42548, complete genome.
UCAUCACUACCAUUUGACCGAUUAAUCUUUCGGGCAUUUGGCGUGUUCGGAAGAUAUCUUCCGAAAACCUGAAAUGGCAAACGCAAUCCAAAAUCGCAAACCCAAUUCUAACCCUUUCGGAAGGCAACUUUUGAAAGGGUUUUUUA